rnacentral:rRNA from 1 species
AACGAACGCUGGCGGCAUGCCUAACACAUGCAAGUCGAACGAGACCUUCGGGUAUAGUGGCGCACGGGUGCGUAACGCGUGGGAACCUGCCCUUAGGUUCGGAAUAACUCCCCGAAAGGGGUGCUAAUACCGGAUAAUUUCUUCGGACCAAAGAUUUAUCGCCUUUGGAUGGGCCCGCGUUGGAUUAGCUAGUUGGUAGGGUAAAAGCCUACCAAGGCGACGAUCCAUAGCUGGUCUGAGAGGAUGAUCAGCCACACUGGGACUGAGACACGGCCCAGACUCCUACGGGAGGCAGCAGUGGGGAAUAUUGGACAAUGGGCGAAAGCCUGAUCCAGCAAUGCCGCGUGAGUGAUGAAGGCCUUAGGGUUGUAAAGCUCUUUUACCCGGGAUGAUAAUGACAGUACCGGGAGAAUAAGCUCCGGCUAACUCCGUG